rnacentral:rRNA from 1 species
GUGUCAGCAGCCGCGGUAAUACGGAGGGAGCUAGCGUUAUUCGGAUUUACUGGGCGUAAAGCGCACGUAGGCGGCUUUGUAAGUUAGAGGUGAAGGCCUGGAGCUCAACCCCAGAAUUGCCUUUAAGCCUGCAUCGCUUGAAUCCAGGAGAGGUGAGUGGAAUUCCGAGUGUAGAGGUGAAAUUCGUAGAUAUUCGGAAGAACACCAGUGGCGAAGGCGGCUCACUGGACUGGUAUUGACGCUGAGGUGCGAAAGCGUGGGGAGCAAACAGGAUUAGAUACCCUUGUAGUCC